rnacentral:rRNA from 1 species
CCUACGGGAGGCAGCAGUGGGGGAUAUUGCACAAUGGGGGAAACCCUGUUGCAGCGACGCCGCGUGGGUGAAGAAGUAUUUCGGUAUGUAAAGCCCUAUCAGCGGGGAAGAAAGAAGAGGGUACCGGACUAGAAAGCCCGGGCUAACUACGGGCCAGCAGCCGCGGUAAAACGUAGGGGGCGGGCGUUAUCCGGUUUCACUGGGUGUAAAGGGGGCGUAGACGGCCGUGCAAGCCAGGAGUGAAAGCCCGGGGCCCAACCCCGGGACUGCUCUUGGAACUGUGCGGCUAGAGUGCGGGAGGGGCAGGCGGAAUUCCUGGUGUAGCGGUGAAAUGCGUAGAUAUCAGGAGGAACACCGGCGGCGAAGGCGGCCUGCUGGACCGCGACUGACGUUGAGGCUCGAAAGCGUGGGGAGCGAACAGGAUUAGAUACCCUAGUAGUC